rnacentral:rRNA from 1 species
UUGAACGCUGGCGGAAUGCUUUACACAUGCAAGUCGAGCGGCAGCGCGGGGGCAACCCUGGCGGCGAGCGGCGAACGGGUGAGUAACAUAUCGGAACGUACCCUAUCGUGGGGGAUAACACAUCGAAAGAUGUGCUAAUACCGCAUACGACCUGAGGGUGAAAGCAGGGGAUCGCAAGACCUCACGCUUUCGGAGUGGCCGAUAUCGGAUUAGCUAGUUGGUGGGGUAAAGGCCCACCAAGGCGACGAUCCGUAGCUGGUCUGAGAGGACGACCAGCCACACUGGGACUGAGACACGGCCCAGACUCCUACGGGAGGCAGCAGUGGGGAAUUUUGGACAAUGGGGGCAACCCUGAUCCAGCCAUGCCGCGUGAGUGAAGAAGGCCUUCGGGUUGUAAAGCUCUUUCGGACGGAAAGAAACGGUCACGGCCAAUACCCGUGGCUAAUGACGGUACCGUCAGAAGAAGCACCGGCUAACUACGU